rnacentral:rRNA from 1 species
UCAAACUUGAGAGUUUGAUCCUGGCUCAGAACGAACGCUGGCGGCAUGCCUAAUACAUGCAAGUCGAACGAGACCUUCGGGUCUAGUGGCGCACGGGUGCGUAACGCGUGGGAAUCUGCCCUUGGGUUCGGAAUAACUUCGGGAAACUGAAGCUAAUACCGGAUGAUGACGA